rnacentral:lncRNA from 1 species
AAAUUACAUGCAAUGUGAUCUAUUCAUGCCUAUUUCCAACUGGUCCUACUUAACUUUAUUGAGAUCAAAUCUUUAGCAUAAUUUAACAGAGUGCAAUAAAAUGAAUACUUUAUUUCUGCAGAACACAAUCCAAAUGUAUAGAUAAAGUCUAAACAUAACAUAGAGCAAUAUACAAUGAAUAAUAUAAACUCCCACUAAAUUUGGAUAUC